UGAAUACGAGAUGCUACGGCGUCGAAGCAGUGUAUGUCAGACUUCCGAGAAAAGCUCGCAAUGUCAUAAAUAAAGAAUGCCUGUACCAUAACCGACACAGGUGGGUAGGUAGAGUAUACUAAGGGGCGCGAGAUAACUCUCUCUAAGGAACUCGGCAAAAUAACUCCGUAACUUCGGGAGAAGGAGUGCCUUCUUUAAGAAGGUUGCAAUAACAAGAUCCAAGCAACUGCUUAUCAAAAACACAGGUCUCCGCUAAGUCGUAAGACGAUGUAUGGGGGCUGACGCCUGCCCAGUGCCAGAAGGUUAAAGAAGCUGGUUAGCAAUAGCGAAGCUGGUGACUGAAGCCCUGGUGAACGGCGGCCGUAACAAUAACGGUCCUAAGGUAGCGAAAUUCCUUGUCGGGUAAGUUCCGACCCGCACGAAAGGCGUAAUGAUUUGGAUACUGUCUCGGAGAGGGACUCGGUGAAAUAGACUUGUCUGUGAAGAUGCGGACUACCUGCACCAGGACAGAAAGACCCUAUGAAGCUUUACUGUAACCUGAAAUUGAAAUUGGACUUUAUUUGCGCAGUAUAGGUGGGAGGCGUUGAAAGUAAUCUUGCGGGAUUAGUGGAGCCAUCAGUGAGAUACCACUCCUAUAAUGUUAGAUUUCUAACUUUGGAUCAUGAUCUGGUCAAAGAACAGUUUCGGGCAGUUUGACUGGGGCGGUCGCCUCCCAAAUGGUAACGGAGGCGUACAAAGGUUUCCUCUGAACGGGUAGAAAUCGUAUCUAGAGUUUAAAGGCAUAAGGAAGCUUGACUGUGAGACCUACAAGUCGAGCAGGGACGAAAGUCGUUCUUAGUGAUCUGACGGUGCUGAGUGGAAAGGCCGUCACUCAACGGAUAAAAGUUACUCUAAGGAUAACUGGCUGAUCUCCCCCAAGAGUUCACAUCGACGGGGAGGUUUGGCACCUUGAUGUCGGCUCAUCGCAUCCUGGGGCGGUAGUACGUCCCAAGGGUUGGGCUGUUCGCCCAUGAAAGCGGUACGCGAGCUGGGUUCAGAACGUCGUGAGACAGUUCGGUCCAUAUCCGGUGUAGGCGUUAGAAUAUUGAGAGGAGCCUUCUCUAGUACGAGAGGACCGAGAAGGACAUACCUCUGGUGUACCAGUUAUCGUGCCAACGGUAAACGCUGGGUAGCUAUGUAUGGAGAGGAUAACCGCUGAAAGCAUCUAAGUGGGAAGCCCACCUCAAGAUGAGUUUUCUCAU
rnacentral:rRNA from 1 species